rnacentral:rRNA from 1 species
GCUGGAAUUGCUAGUAAUGGCAGGUCAGCAUACUGCCGUGAAUACGUCCCCGGGCCCUUGUACACACCGCCCGUCACACCAUGGGAGUUUGUAACGCCCAAAGUCGGUGGCCUAACCUUUAUGGAGGGAGCCGCCUAAGGCGGGACAGAUGACUGGGGUGAAGUCGUAACAAGGUAGC